rnacentral:rRNA from 1 species
UACGGAGGGUGCUAGCGUUGUUCGGAAUCACUGGGCGUAAAGGGCGUGUAGGCGGCCUGCUAAGUCUGAUGUGAAAUCCCCUCGCUCAACGAGGGAACUGCGUCGGAUACUGGCAGACUCGAGUACCGGAGAGGAAGGUGGAAUUCCCGGUGUAGCGGUGAAAUGCGUAGAUAUCGGAAGGAACAUCAGUGGCGAAAGCGACUUCCUGGACCAGUACCGACGUUCAGGCACGAAAGCGUGGGGAGCAAACAGG